rnacentral:rRNA from 1 species
GUGCCAGCAGCCGCGGUAAUACGUAGGGCGCAAGCGUUAUCCGGAAUUAUUGGGCGUAAAGAGCUCGUAGGCGGUUUGUCGCGUCUGCCGUGAAAGUCCGAGGCUCAACCUCGGAUCUGCGGUGGGUACGGGCAGACUAGAGUGAUGUAGGGGAGACUGGAAUUCCUGGUGUAGCGGUGAAAUGCGCAGAUAUCAGGAGGAACACCGAUGGCGAAGGCAGGUCUCUGGGCAUUUACUGACGCUGAGGAGCGAAAGCAUGGGGAGCGAACAGGAUUAGAUACCCUGGUAGUCC